CCAUAUUUCCAUCACCAUGGCCUUGCCGCUGGCUGUUUGGCUGGGCUCGUCAUAUCAUGAAAAUGCACAAGAGUUCGGAAGAUGCUUUGUGAAACGCAAUAAGUGGCAGACUGGCACGUCAUGGGCAGGUUGGAAGUUCUCUUUAUCGGGGUCAUCUUAUCUCGUUUGCGGCGAUCGAGCUACGGCAACUUUUUUGUCGGGUGACGCGACUUUCCUGUGUUUCAACCCAAGAUAUAUACUAGCUGGUGCCUUCAAUCAAAAUCCUCAUAUUGUCGCUUUAUCAAGAUUGCAGCUGGCAGUCUAGUCAAAGUGGUACAAUUUUAAAUGUAUCAAAGACACUGACGUUUUAAAAAAAUUAUGACUUUCGGCCAUGGCCAGCGUGAGAUCUUCUAAACCGUUACCAUUUUUCGUUAUAUUGAGACUUAUACUUUUCUCCUGCUGGAAUAUGCACUGCUCUGGACCUGCCAAGAAAAGUAAUCGAGGUGGGUCCAGGCAGGUCCAUAACCUGCCGUCAAAACGAGUGUAAGAUGCUGCGCUGACUAAUAUGUAUGUAUACCUCUUUUUUAGUUAAACGAAUCGGCCACUGAAUGCAAGUUGGAUGCUUCGCACCCGCACCUUCACCAUUUUAAUUAUUUUUUAAAUCAAUGGUAUUACGUGACCAAACUGUCAAAAAGAUAUCUCCAUGUUGUUUAAUUAACAACAGAAAGGAAAGUUUGGUUUACGUGGGUAUUCUCCGGCAGGCUGUCGCUGAAAAAAAAGAUGGAAACCUAAAACACGCCUGAUCUCGUCAUCAAAAUGGCAAAGGUAUUGAUAAGUUCGUUUUAUCAUCAUUUGAUCAGCAACCUUGCUCUUAUAAGCCCUGAUCUCGGAUCUACUCCCUCAGUAUCACCUUUACACUGCAGCAUCCUCUGCUUUACUCGGACAAGUUGUACAACUUUUAACUUCGUGCCUAUCAAAGUGGGCUCUUCUUGUCAGCAGAACCAUAAGAGAGGAACGUGUUUAAGCCAGGAACAGGCUACUCCUUCAAAUGGAUCACGCAUGUUUCAAGAAAAGGCUUCAGUUAUCCUCGAGGAUAUCUGCUUGCAGUCUCGAGAGAGAGUAUUCUCGUUUACGGGUAUAACGAAACCAGCUUCGCAUACACUUUGUUACACAACGUGUGGCUAUCACGCACGAAGAGAGACUUUGGCCACUUAGGACUUCACCUUGAUAGCUAUGGAAAUUUAGUCUUCUUUACCUCAUCAAAGAAGCCGAACAUACAGUAUUUUGAUUUCAUCAAAGAAAAGUUAGGUCAUGUUUCACUCGUUGGCAAUGGUAAGGCGUUUAUCCGAAAGAAGUUGAACAAGAAUUUCAGUUACUUUGUGAGGAAGAGUUUUAUAUACUUUCGAGUAUGGGAGAAACACGCCUUUUGCUCGAUCAUACGAAGCUUUAAAAACGAGUUAUUAUUAUUAGUUUUAUACGAUGUCGCUUUUCAAAAUCAAAAUGUACUUCUUACGAACGGGGUCGAAAUACCUUAUACCCGUGUUGAGUCAAUGCUUGGAUAUUUGUUGUUUUUAUCGAAACCGGACAUAUCGGUAUAUGAGAAGAGAAGAACCCGUGUAAAUCUAAUACAAACUUUGGUGAAAUGUAAUAAUCCCGAAUACUCACAAUCCUUUCGAGGCCACCCUGGCUCACCAGUAUUUUACAUAUCGUCGUCACUCCCUAAUAGGCUUGUCCUCGGAUGUGACAUUUCUUCUUUUAUUUGCCUCCCUUCAAGUCGACUUUUUCAUGGGUGUAUCGAGCCGUUUCUUACUAUUCUUCACUCGAAUAUCGGUCAUCGUCGAGAUCUUACUAAUUUUGGGGUAGAUUCAGUUGGUAAUGUGUACAGUCUGAAGGGAAAGAUGGAAAACAAAUUUAGAUUUAACUCUGUUAACAUAUAUGCGAGAAUGUCUUAGACAUACACCAUAUACAGUGUAGUUGGGAAAAUGUCUGUUGAGAACCAGAAAAGCGACCACAUAUUAAUUUUUUUAUGCAUAUUACCAAGUGUUCAUAAAGACCACGAAGACAGUCACUUUUCUUGUCUUACAAAUACAUGUAAGCUUGCACCUCACCAACCUUCUUAUUCGAAUGAUGUCGUUAAAAUUACAUGUCUCGUAGACUUAUUCUUCUUUAGUCAUACCAGUGUCCCGAAAAUUUGUUAAAUACACCCGGAGCCGAUCUGGGAGGUCACAAGAACUUUUUAAAGAAAUAGAUUUUGUAAUUAGAUCAAAUCAAAUAGAUCAAAUCGCUAUAUUCCUAAGUGCUUAUAUCGUCUGUUACUUACUUCACAUUCUUCACACUUUACUUUCUUCACUCAGGAAAACGACUAUGACUGUUGACUACAUCACCCUCUAUUGAUACUGACAUCCUCGGUUGCUAUCCGCAAAAUGUAAAACCAGUCACAUGUCGCAUUUUGAGUAUUUUAUCGGAAAAGAAAGCCACGCCCCUCACAGUUACGUUACGUUUUCUGUUUUAAUGGAAAAGAGUAAAAUAUGUUGUCGUUUUUCUCCCAAUUUUACAAGAAGAAUAUCUGCACAUUUUGAUUGUUUUUGCAAUGGAUGGUCAAAGUGAUUUUUUUCUUCUCACAUGAAACGAGUUACCGAAGAGAAUCAUGUUCAGGCAAACUGGUAGGUUGUCUUUCAAGCCUCCCAUCUCCGUACGACCUGGUAGGGAUCGCUGGUGGUAUGAUCUGGCUUCUGGAUACAUCAUACUAGCAACCAAAGGGGGAAUUGCCAAGAAUAGCGUCAGAAUAUAUCAUCAGACAAACCGCGAAUUCUCCAUUCUACAAAUGUUUGAAUACGAUGCCUCGAUUGGUGAUCUAUUUCACUAUCAGGGAUUGUUCAGGAAACGCUUCCUAUCCUUAUGUGAACUGCCUGGCGUGAUAUUCCUUAAAGACGUUUUUGAUAAAGAGGAAACAUAUACCAUUGUCCCGCAAAAGUGCUAUCGAGCAAAGUUCUAUUACCGCCCAUCAUUCGGCAACGAUCUCGUUUUCAUCCAUUGCACGGAUUUGAGGGGUAAAAUUAAAGGGACUGUCUACAGUAUCACGUUAGAGGAUACAACUCAAAGAGCGGUUUUAUCAAAUGGUGUGCCCAUUAACAGUAAGAAUAGAUUUGGUGAAAUCACAGAAUUCUCUUCAGAAGGCGAUUUGAUAUGUAACUGUAGAAAAAUUUUUGGUUUCAUUAUUUACCGUAGAUGUGACGGAUACAGGAUUGAGCACUUAGAAGUUGACAAUGCAGGCUGGAUGCCGUAUUGGAGUCAUAAACACCAAACCAUUCUCAAAGGACAACGUAUGGGCCAAAAAGGUCACGGGAAACUUGUCUACGACGGGUGGAAGAUCAACUGCAAGCUGAAGAAUCGUUUAGUAUCGGAAAUACCACCAGUUUACCCGAUUAGUUUCUUCAUUCGCUGGAAGAGAAUGUCAACCAUUAGUGGUACAUCUAUACUUCUUUUGUCACCCGAAGGAACCCUUCUAGUAAUUUUGAUUGAAAAGCAAGUCCCAAUAUUUGUACUUCUAUAUUCCUCCGUGUAACCGUUCCACUCGUGGUAGAGGUUGGCCAGGACACGGUCACACGUCAUGGUUCCCAGCCCGACUGAAUGCUGGUGUAGACGUUAAAAAUGUCCCUCUGGAAAAAAUUGUUCGGCGCUAUUAUUCUGAUCGAUUAUGCUGUGCUGCCCCCAUGUUGUGUCCAUGUUCUGCCCAGGAAUGGUUGUAGGUCGUCUUUUAAUGGCGGGAUUUUUUUCUUUUUUGAAUAAAGGAGUAAAAGCCCUGACGCCUCACGGGCAGGAUUUCUACACAAAAUGCAGUUAACAAUAUUAUCACGUGCAUGGCAGGCGUUCGACGUCUGGCGUAAGAUAGAGUAUAUCUCUCCUCAAAUACUAGGGUCAGUAGAAUGCUCCUCCCCUCGCACACAUUGCAAAGGUAAGAUUGGGAGAUCAAGCUGUGAAUAAAAGGCCCUGAAGGAGCAUAUCCCGAGAUAAGAACGUCAACACCGGACCGUUUUCAACAUUUCACGUAUCGAGAUAACAUUCUUUUCGGUGAUCUCAAGGCAGUUGAAUCGGCCGUUUCUACUUGGCCGCGAUUCCGGCGUGAGUUACUAAAGAUGACAAGGUCCAGCGGCAUCACACCUGUUAAUUGCUUGGAAUGUAUUCAGAAGAGGCUUACAGAUAUAGUCAAUGGUGUAGUAAUUUGAUAUGAGCAAAUAGAGAAGGAACUACAGCCUUAACCUAAAUUUGAUUCUUCCAGCAUCGCUAAUCAAUUAAAGCAUGCCUUUAGAUUAUGACAAAAACUCGUGAUUAAUGUGGAUCCUUUGUUGGCUCUGACUGUUCGCAACUGGGUCUCACCUCUCACAACAGCUGGGGACCCACCAAAUGUCAGAUUUAAAGGAUUAUUUGACGGAUUUAUAGCAUCCAUGAGUUUUUCAUGUGACUAACUCAGUGUGGCUCAAUGAGUUCAGGGCCUUGUGGGUAGGAAAUAAUGCGUGAAUUGAUAGUUUUCGUGUGACUUUAUGCAUAGUUACCGCAGUUUGGGGCUUGGAUAGUGUUUGAUUCCGCGAUAUUUAUAUUUCUCAGUGUGAAUAGUUUCCAUGUACUGCGAUGUCGGAAAUACCCCUGCUGCGAUUUCUUGCAAUUCUAUUUGCCGGACUUCCAUUAAUCGUGCCUAUAUUCUCCUUUAAUGGGGUACGCUCUUCAUAUUUUAUCGUGGGUCAGGAAAAAAGAAAUACAGUUUACACAAUGCCGUAGUGCAGUUACAAUGCAUGCAACUUUGCUGUCUACUCAACGGCAAUGGUGAUAUUUAUAUCAAGAACGUAUUUACGCAAUUGGAAAUUUCAAUUACCAACUUCAAUUUUUUAACGAACGGCGUUGGCCAGCAGGACAUAGAAUCAAUCGUACAUUUUCAUCGUUUGUAUUGGACCCAGCGAUCAAAGAAUAGUGUAUCAUUCUAAAUUCCGACACAUUGUUGACUCGUUGCUAAGAUACCGAAAUCUCUCGGUUUCCCUUUUUCAAUGACCGCACGUAAUUUCAUCCUGUCAUAAUAUCUUUAACAAAUGUUAAAGGGGACGCUCAAUACGGAUAAUUAGAUUUUCCAUAAACGAUUCAAUUAAUUAGAUAUGAUUAGGUCCGGUUGUUUUUUUGUUAGAUUUCGAAUUUCAAUACCCACGGUGGAUAUAGGUAUUUCUUUACCUUUCAUGAAAGUUUCAAAAAGGAGAAAUGAGAGGAAAUGAAGUCACAAAAGAAACAGACAAAAGGCUAUAUUUUUGUAGCGAUACAUUGCAAUAUUGCAGUCUGCUUACGAUGUUAUUGUCGGUUGGUUGUAGGUUGGUUGGUCACAGGACUGAUAUUUUACCAAAACACCUCCUGUACACCUAGGCGUAUCAACCAUUAAAAAAUGGCAAUAUCUAAGCACCUCUGCCACACGCCAUGACUGCGAGAGUGGAGUUUGUUUAAAAUUUUCCAGAGCGACGUCUGGCUAGGCAAGGGUAGCGAUAUGCCCCUCAAACACAACAGAAUACGAGGGCCUGGUCGCUA